rnacentral:rRNA from 1 species
AGGACGAACGCUGGCGGCGUGCUUAACACAUGCAAGUCGAGCGGUAAGGCCCUUUGGGGUACACGAGCUGCGAACGGGUGAGUAACACGUGGGUGACCUGCCCCCUACUCUGGGAUAAGCCUGGGAAACUGGGUCUAAUACCGGAUAUGACUACAUGUCGCAUGGUGUGUGGUGGAAAGUUUUUUUCGGUGGGGGAUGGGCCCGCGGCCUAUCAGCUUGUUGGUGGGGUGAUGGCCUACCAAGGCGACGACGGGUA